rnacentral:sRNA from 1 species
CACACAACAUCAGAGCUGAAAAUACCUUGGGGGAUCAUUGAAGACACCUAGGUCCUGGAGUCGUGGUCAUCAGGAAAAUCACCUGGCACUUCAUGAGAGACACGGAAGAUGUGCGAACCACGGGACCAUCCACCAGCUAGUUCAUGACAUCUUGUUUACCAUAACACUAAAAAGAAAGGGACUCCAAUAGUGUUUUAAGGUUGUUGCGAUGUCCUCUUCAGUCCUUGUCAAAGAGAAAUUCAUGACAGAAGUGCGAACCACAAAGCGAAGAAAGUCGUGGCCCAAAAACAAGUAAGAAAAGUAGGAAGUUAAAUGAGGAGUGACCAACUUUAAUCGGUUCUGUAGCUCCAGGCUUCAAGGAGAAGGAACCCACAGGUGUGCCCAUUGGCCAGCGUCACAGAUGUCAUCCUACAAGCAGUAGACUGUGAUGUAGGAGAAUAGUCAUCGGCUGUCUUCGAUGGCACUUUCUAAGCCAUCUGUAAGGUAAGCUGCUUUUCAAGGAAGGCAAUGAACGCCAAGAAGACAAAGGCAGGUGGUGCACGCACAUAACCUCUGACCUUGGGAAGCUAAGGCAGAAGGCUAGAGAGUUUGAGGUCAGCCUGGGCUAUAUAGUCAGUUCCAGAGUAGCCUGGGCUACCCGCAGAGUGAAACUCUUGUCUCAAAUAUAGAAAUCAGAACAAUAACAACAAUAAACAAAGAAAGGGCCAAAGGAGAAUGUAUGUCACCUGUAUGUGCUAAGCUAGUGUCAGAGCCUGUGCUGAUACCAGCUCUUGGCCCCUCCACUCGGCAUCUGUGAGGGCGAGGGCCUUGAGAAGAUGCCAGCCAAGCACACAGGCCAUCCACAUUGGCCUGGGGAAGAAUGUCAUGGUACGUAGUCAGAACAUUUCUUCAAGAGCUGUAGCUAAGACCGUUCAAACACUGUUCCCCUGCAGGCCUGAAACUUGUCUGGCUUGGUGUGCUGGGCUCGGGGAAGGGAGCAUAGGGACAGCCAUAUAUGAAUAGCAAUCUGUGAAAAGUAGACCUGUCCCACCAAAGUCAAGCCUGCCUUUGUGCAGACUGCUGUCUGCCUGGAGGUUUUCAGGACUGAGUUUGCUAAUGGCAGGAAGCUCAGGAGUUCUAGGUUUUUGCUCCUCAGAUGCAUACUCUUCCUACACAACUGCACAACUCAGGCUUGUCCCGCUGAUCUGCCCCAAACAGCUGGCAUGAGAGAACUUGCCCAUAGUCUCUUACCCAGGAGUGUAGUGGAGAUUAAUGGUAGGGACCUCACAUACCUUGGAGAAAACUGUGUGCUUGCUUCUUUUAGUACACAUUUGGCAGUGUUUCCAUACAGACCUGUCAACUGCCCUGAAAUAAACCAGAGAGGGAAGAGUUAUACAAUUUACCAUAUCCUAAGGGGGCUGGGCCGUGAGGGAGCUUGACACUGUGUCGGUUCAGGAGGAACAGGUAUCUUAGCAGCAAGGCUGAAAGUGUCCUGGGAGUCAGUGAGGUAAUUGGCUGUAGAAUAAAGAGGCCUGUGCUCUAAACAUGGGGGCAGGGAGGGAAAAGGAAAGCUAGGCAGAGCACACUCUUUGAAUGGAAGCCGUGGUAGUCAGUUUUUAAGAAUUCCAACAUCUAAUGAGAGCAAAACUAACAUAGAAUUAGAAGUGGAGAGUUGCUAAUGAAGAUCCGUUCCUACAAAGGAUGGAUCACCGCUGUUGGAUAGACGUGUGAACAGUGUGUGCAUACUCUAUAUGUGCAUUCUCCAGAGCCCCUCAGAGAAGCUCAGGCAAGGAAAAAUCAGGACUGAAAAAUGAAGCUGGACAGAUUCUGACCAGUGGACUGUUAGUGCAGAGGUCCCUGCACUGCACCAGAUCAAAACUCAGCUCGUGGACCCUAAAAAGUCAAGUCAGGAUUUUUACAUGAUUAGUUAUAAAAGUCAAGGAAAGGAAACACUUAGAAAUUUGAUUUUUCAUGAAAAUGAGGCCGGGAGGUGGUGGCACGUGCCUGUAAUCCCAGCACUUGGGAGGCAGGCUCUGUGAGAGUCAAGGCUAGCAUGUUUUACAGAAUGAGUUCUAGGUCAGUUAGGACUGUCACACAGAGAAACCCUAUCUCAAAAAAACCAAUAGAUAGAAAGUCUAUUCUAUUUGGGUAGGUGGGUGGGUGGAUGGAUGGAUGGAUGGAUAGACAGACAGACAGACGACAGGGCUGAAGAGAAAAUGACAUGGCUCUUGAGAUAAAGGCAUUUGCUCUUCAAGCCUGGAGAUCUGAGUUUGUUCCCCAGAACCCACGUAAAGGUGCAAAGAGAGAACCCACUCCACAAAGUUGUCUACUGACCCCCACCCACACAGAGACAUGGUAAUAAUAAAUAAAUUUUAAUUUAAAAAUAAUGGAACACACACACACUGGUCUCCCUGAACUGUAGUAAGAAGAAUGAGCUAGCUCUAAGGUAGAGGCUCUUUCACAGCAACAAGACAGAAUUCAAGGAAGUAAAAUGUUAAGCUCACCACGUACUUCGAGCUAUUGGCAUAGGAUGAGGUGUCCCUAGACUAAGCCCAUUGCCCUAAGAGCUAUCUUUCAGUUUCAGUUUUGAUUGACAUGCAGCCAGGUCUGCUUAGAGAAUUGGGGUCACGCCUUAAAAGUGUGAAAGUGUUCCUGUCUGUGCGCCAUUGUGACGGAUUGCUCGGGGCAAGAACAUCCAGAACACACUUAAUACUGAAGCUCUGGUCUCGGGUGUGUUCAUUCUCUCUGCACUAAGCCAGCCUUGGUUUAAACUUGCCCGGGGCUCUGAAAGUUUACUGAAGCCCGAAGCCUGGAAUCUUCUCCAAAAACAGGAAAUAGGUGCCAGCUUCCUCUGUCCAUGAUAGAACCAAUUUGUGGCCAAAUAUGAAGUAAAAUGUUAAAAAGAUGAAUUAGGCCUCUAGAAAAAAACAUUAAUUUGUAAACAUCAAAUAAACAAACAAAUGAAUAAAUAAAUAAAUAAAUAAAAAGAGAAAGCAAUCAUGCCUUGGUUUUCAGAAUAUUAAAAA